rnacentral:siRNA from 1 species
AGCCCUACAGACUCCACCGCCGCC